CCUACGGGAGGCAGCAGUGAGGAAUAUUGGUCAAUGGACGAGAGUCUGAACCAGCCAAGUAGCGUGAAGGAUGACUGCCCUAUGGGUUGUAAACUUCUUUUAUAUGGGAAUAAAAUGUUCCACGUGUGGGUUUUUGUAUGUACCAUAUGAAUAAGGAUCGGCUAACUCCGUGCCAGCAGCCGCGGUAAUACGGAGGAUCCGAGCGUUAUCCGGAUUUAUUGGGUUUAAAGGGAGCGUAGGUGGAUUGUUAAGUCAGUUGUGAAAGUUUGCGGCUCAACCGUAAAAUUGCAGUUGAAACUGGCAGUCUUGAGUACAGUAGAGGUAGGCGGAAUUCGUGGUGUAGCGGUGAAAUGCUUAGAUAUCACGAAGAACUCCGAUUGCGAAGGCAGCUCACUGGACUGCAACUGACACUGAGGCUCGAAAGUGUGGGUAUCAAACAGGAUUAGAGACCCUUGUAGUC
rnacentral:rRNA from 1 species